UGAUGGAGCACGCCGCGUGAGUGAAGAAGGGUUUCGGCUCGUAAAACUCUGUUGUUAAAGAAGAACAUAUCUGAGAGUAACUGUUCAGGUAUUGACGGUAUUUAACCAGAAAGCCACGGCUAACUACGUGCCAGCAGCCGCGGUAAUACGUAGGUGGCAAGCGUUGUCCGGAUUUAUUGGGCGUAAAGCGAGCGCAGGCGGUUUUUUAAGUCUGAUGUGAAAGCCUUCGGCCUAACCGAAGAAGUGCAUCGGAAACUGGGAAACUUGAGUGCAGAAGAGGACAGUGGAACUCCAUGUGUAGCGGUGAAAUGCGUAGAUAUAUGGAAGAACACCAGUGGCGAAGGCGGCUGUCUGGUCUGUAACUGACGCUGAGGCUCGAAAGUAUGGGUAGCAAACAGGAUUAGAUACCCUGGUAGUCCAUACCGUAAACGAUGCAUGCUAAGUGUUGGAGGGUUUCCGCCCUUCAGUGCUGCAGCUAACGCAUUAAGCAUUCCGCCUGGGGAGUACGGCCGCAAGGCUGAAACUCAAAGGAAUUGACGGGGGCCC
rnacentral:rRNA from 2 species